rnacentral:lncRNA from 1 species
UUUUUUUUUUUUUUUUUGUCUAAGCUUUCGAUUCUUUUUGAGUUUUUUUUCCCCUUCCCCUCGAGGACAAGCCAAAUCUGAUCUACGUGAUUUGUGCUUUUUUCUACAAUCAAAGUGUGAGAUUUGAAUCUGGUGCCCUGUGGUUAUUUAGUUCAAUCUCCUUAUUAAAUCAAUUGAAAUUAUUGUAUUAUGUCUACUUUCACUAUCUAAUACUCUAAUAUCACAAAUUAUCUAUAAAGAAAUAAAAAUGGGAAAAAAAAAGUUUACAUAGAGCACGUGUACGAAUUAACAAGUAAACGCACGUGUUCUAAUGGGUCAAAACCUUAUCCAAGUGGAAAUUUGGGAUUGGAAAGGUCAAUAGAGGGCUGUAGACUUUUCUGUUCCAGAUAGAAAUUCUUGUAUGGGAUUUCUAAUGAACGCAUAUUAAUAACCUUAAAUUUCAUCUAACCUACUUAUCAUAUAUAUAUAUAUAUACUAAAAAUUAUUAUCUUUUCUUACAUUUAUAUAUACUAGUCUAAACACCCGUGCUAUGCACGAUAGAUCAUAUUUUUGGAAGAAAUUAUAAUCGAGAGAGGAAUUUAAAUAGAGUAUGAAAUGUAUGUAAUUGUUCUUAUAAUUUAGGGCACAUGAAAGUGUAGUUAAAAAGUGAGAUUUUGUAGCAAUAGUUCAAUAUAUGAUAAAAACAUCCCAAUUAUUUAUAAAUUACCACAUUAAUGGAAGUUGGAUCCUGAAAAAAAAAAGUAGAAAUCUAUAGCAUAAAUUGAGUGACAUAUGGGUUCAAUUAAAUAUAACUGAAUAUUUAAUUUGAUAAGUAAAUGAAAUACUUACAAAUAUUUUGUAUUCGAUUUGAUAAUCUUCUAUGAAUGUGAAAACAUUCUUCAUACCAAUCAACUCUAAGUAUGAAUGCCAGUAUUGGGGGUUUAAUUAAUUCUGCUGAAUUUUGUGGAAUCCGUACUAUAAAUGAAAAUGCACGAUUUUUGCAUGAAUUAAUGCGUUCGUCGAACAAUGUACCUCAAUUUUCCUAACAAUUAAGAGCAUAUGGAAUUCAAAAUUAUCAUUUGUUUGAGAAAGUUUGUAAAUAUAUUGUAUAAAAAUAUAUAUGUAUAAAUAAUUUAUACUUUCCCUUUUAAAUCUUUAAGAUAAGAAUCAUCACACCGAAAUAUGAAUCAUGUGUGUUUGUCUUGAAGAACGGGGUAUAGAUUACCACUGGAAUCUCUAACUUGUAUGUUAACAUUGUAUCUGUUAAGAAGAAAGUGUGAUAUACAAUAAAAAAAUGUAAUUAAAAUUAAAGAUAUAUGAAAAUAAUUACCUGACAAUAGUGUCAACUACGUCAUUACAAUAAAUACAUACCAUUUUUGAAAAAUGAGAUUGAUACAAUUGUCCACAAUUUUUGCAUAACUCAUGAAACAUAUUGUCUAAGUUAACGCUUUGAAUGUAAGAAAGUAUCCUAAAAUAUUUAACCUAAAACCAUUCGAAAAACGUAUAGAUUACAAUCAUUAAUUCAAAAUAAUAUGUAGAUAAUUGUUCAUCAUAUAUCAUAUAUAUAUAUAUAAUAAAAUUGUAUUCUCAUUCUUAUCCCUUCAUAUUUUCUCUUUCCUACGUGGCUUAACGAGACGGCAAGUAGUUUCCUACGUGGCUUGCUCAUUUUUUCUUAUUUGUAUAUCAAUUCUUAUUUCCUAUAAGACGUUUUAAAUUUCAAAAGAAUUGUUAUCACUACAAGAAGUAGAAAAGUAACUAAUUUCAAAAGGAACCAUUAAUAACAGAAGUCAAUAUCUGAUGUUGGAAAUAGGAUUCUUAAUAGGAUUCUCAUUCUAAAUGCAUUAAUUAAUUUUAUUUCAUUUAAAAUAAAUAUUGCUAUAGACAUUGAGAUAAAUACAUUAAGUUGCUUAGACUUCCUUUUUGUGAAAUAUCCAAUUUAUUUUAGUGCUAAAAGAUCGAAAUGCAUAGUAUAAUUGUGUUUAGAUGCAUUUCACAACUAUUAAAAAAAUAGAUAUUUAUUAUGUUACAAUUAUUAGGUGUGUUUAAGAAUUAGAUAUGAAUAUUUUGAUCAUAAAAUAUAUAACUUCAUCUUAAUACCGGCAAAAAAUUGACUCCUAGAGGUAUAAAAGUGUCACAAGGACUUACAUUCGAGGGUGCAAGUGUAAUUAAUCCAAAAAGAUAAUGCUUAUUACCAUUGGCCAAGGUAAAAGGUCACUACAUAAGAUACUAAUAUACUACUUUACUCAAGACAUAGUGCAUAGCAUGAAAUUUAUGUAAAAUCUGUCAUGAUAACGCACUUUUAUUUCCUAUAAGAAUUCUUAAUAUUAUAAGAUUCUUAUUUCCUACACAAAGUUACGUAUUUCAAGAUAAACCUACUUUUAAUGUUCUUAGCAAUAUCUCUUUAUAUCCUUAUCAAUUCUUAUUUCUUAUGUCUACACUACAUAUAGCCUCUAAUAUAUUGAUUUCAAGCAUCAAAUUCAUGGUUAGGUAUUUCCAGUGCAAGCGGUUGGCACAUUAAAGCAUCGAGUUUGGGUUUUCCACUCUUCUUGAUUAUCAGAUACAUUUUCUUUCAAUACAUAUUUUUUUUAAAAAGGCAUGUUGAUCUUUAAUUGUAAAAGUUUAGUAACAUAUCUUGAAUUUUGUUUUUAUUUUCUAUUUGUUUUGUAUGAAGACAUAGGAUUAGUCACAUGUCUUGAAUUUUGUUUUUUUUUGUUUUUAUUUUCUGUUUGUUUUGUAUGAAGACAUAGGAUUUAAACAAGUACUUUCAGCAUUAUUUUUGUACGAUUUUUGCUAACAUGUUUGUUAAUUGAAUUUGGUGAUCAAAUGCGUAUUAAGUAAUUCAAACAAUUAGAGUUAUUUGAAUGGAUUUUAAAUCCUUCAUCAGAUUCCUCAAUCCAAGCAUAAGAGUUGAUAUUGAAAUGCUAGAAAUUUAAUCUUGGGCGGUCACCUUAGGCUUAGAUAAACAGGUAUACUCUAAAUACCGGUGACGUACUUGCGUUUAGAAUAAUCACAAAGAAUUCCAGCGCCAAUCUCCUUAACCUGAAUUCCACUGUUUCUUUUCCUUUUUGUUCCCUUGGACUGAUUUACAGUUCGAUAGCUUAAUCUCUUUGCAUAAUUUACUGAUUAUAUCCCACGAUGUUGAGAUGUUGAAACUCCGUAUUAAGUGUGGGGAUAAUCUGGCUGCAAAGAAAGAAUCUAAUACGUUAUUAAACAAAGCCCAGUCGGCAAACUUGACAGGUUUUCAUGAUAAAUUUGUGUGAUGUGAUUAGAUCAACAAUGAAACCGGUUUUUGUAAGUAUUCUCAAAAAACAAAUAGUAAUAAUGCUACUAAUCACGUAGUGAAGUUACCGGAUGAACAGCUAAUACGCUAAUGUUCGAAAUCAUGAAUUUUUUUUCCCAAAAGAAAAGCUAAAUUUAGGCAUUAUUAUUUCUGGAAUACUAAGUAAAGUAUGUCAUUGGAGUACUCUUGCUUUGGUUCAAGUUCAUUGUUGUGCAGCUAAAUUGCCUUGAACUAAAUAAAAUAGCCAUCGUAUUUGUAUAGAGAAAAUGAUUUGUAACCUUUGAUUUGUACUCGUAGUGUAUGAUUGAAAUUGCAAUCUUUGGAAGCUACGAGUCUUGCUUCCAAUUAUAUGGGAUCGUGUAUUGUUACACACGGUCGGCAAUCUUGCCAGCUAUACAUAUGCGUAUGCUGUAUUAGCUUUGGGUUAUCUUGGCGUGUAGAUUUCACCCAAGGAAAUGAGAUAUUUACUAAACAAACUAGAAUUCGAAGAAGUUUAAUUCUAUCUAAGUCAAAUCGAUUUACGUAAUUUUUAUUGCACUUGGGAUUUGGCAUAAAUCUAGAUAAUUUUGGUAUAAACCAUCAAAUUAAGCGUAAGAAUUUUUUUUUUUUUUCGAUUGGGGGGUAUCCUGGUCAAUUGACCAGACUAAUACCCCCAGGCUGGAAGAGCUCGCCCCAAGGAUUCCAGCGCUCUACGGGAGAGAGUCGAACACGGGACCUUACUUCUGAAGAGGAGGCUACUGGACCGGUCGCAUUAACCCCCGGGGACUCGUAAGAAUUGAUAAAUUCAAAUUUAUAUCUAACUACACGAAUUUAUAUCAAAAGUUGUAAAAAUUAUACGAUACGAACCUAUUUGAAUCGGACAGAACAGAAUCUAGGAGAUCCCCGAUCUUUUCUUUUCUUUUCCUUCUACAGUCAGAAAAUUGAAUGUAUGGUGAAUUCAGGUACAUCUUCUUUCCACUGCGUCUGCAUUCCUUCCAGUUUGUACAGGCAGGCUCUUCUAGAAUUGGACAUCUAAAUUCAUUCAUAUGCAAGACAGUUUUUUUAUCCUGUCUUAAUAAUCAAAAGUACGUCAUGCUUACUUUUUCCAUCAAAUAAUUUAUUAUUAUAUGCUAAAUUAUUUUAAUUAUUUAUUAAUUUUUUUAUUAUAUGCUAAAUUAUUUUACUUAUACAAAUUAGGACAUGUACAAUGAAUAUAACUUCUAAAUUUAGAUUCUUAUUUUUGUUGAUGUAAUUAUAUGUUUACAAAAAUUAAGUUUCUACCAUAUAUUAAAAUGCAAUCAAAUAUCAAAUAUAUGUAUAUAUGUGUGUGCAUGAAUGUGUGCGCAUCAAAUUCAUGGUUAGGUAUUUCUAGUGUAAGCGGUUGGCAUAUUAAAGCAUCGAUUUUGGAUUUUCACUCCUCUUAAUUAUCAGGUACAUCUUCUUUCAAUACAUAUUUUUUUUAAAAAGGCAUAUUGAUCUUCAAUUGUAAGAGGUUAGUAACAUAUCUGAAAUUUUUUGUUUGUUUUGUAUGAAGACAUAGGAAUUGAUUUAACAUGCACGUUUUCAAUCCCAAAAUGUAAUUGAUUAAAUGUUAUAUAUUUUAAUUGGUUCAAUGACCACUUUGGGUAAAAUAAAUUUUUUACUGUCCCAAGUAGAUAACUCUAAAUAAUUGAGUGAUAAAAUUAUGCCACCUGCUCUUUGUAAGCAGAACAUAACAAAACAAUCAAGUUCCAUUGAAAAUUUGUCAAAUGAAAUUUCCAUCGAAUUUCUUUAAUUGGUCACAGGCAUCGAAUCAGAAAUAAGUUUUAAGGGAAUCACACAUGCAGUCAUGCAUGCGUCAGUACAUUGAAAUGGGUGCACCCAUUCUGUGGAUAGCCUUGGAGUCUUUCUUUUGACUCAUUAAUGCAUGAUAAUUUAUUACGACUUUAUUAUACCGAACUAAAGUAAUGAUGUGCUAUAUACAGUUUUCAAUAGUCUUACAAAACAAGGAUUGACUACGUAUAUAGUCUAUUUGCAUUUCCCUACAACGAGUCAAUCAUAUUUAUCCUCCAUAGUUUUGAAAAUUUAUUUUGGUUCCUUUUGCGAAAUUUAUGUAUGUUGGUGUUCAAGGGUCAACGCAACAAGAUUUUCAUGGGCAUAAUAUAUAGUCAACUAACUCUACAAAUACAAUUUACUAUAAAAUUAUUACCCACUUUAAUACAUCAAAUAUCAUAAAAAGUGUGGCUAAUUAAAUGUACAAUAUUUUAUUUUAGCUCAAAUUAACAUUAUUGUAUCAUUGCACAUUUAUAUUUACACUUAAUUUAUUUAAUGGUAUUUAUGUAGGAAUCAUGAAUCAAUCACGGGUUUUUAAAAUUUCAUUCAAGACACUAUUGAAUGAAAUAUUGGAUUCAUACAAUAUACCAUUACCAGAGUGGACCUACGAGAAUAAUGGCAACAAGGCAUGGAAAGCACUGAUAUCUUUAUUAAAUAUUUGUUUAAUAUUUUCAUAUAUAUUGUUUAUAAGUAAUUAAGAUAAGAUUGUUAUUAGCAUUGAUAGCACUGCUCCUCAAAUUAUUAAGGUUUUACAUCCUUCAAAAACGUGAGAAGCUAUACAGCAACUAAUGUUCAAGAAUUGAAAAUUAUUAUCAGAAAUAUAUCAAAUAAUGGCCGGUGUUCAAACAGAAGUACAAUUAAAGUUACAAGUUACAAUUAUAGCACAUUAGUUUUCACAAUUAAAAAUAUUUAUUAUUUAAAUUGACUGCUUAGAUCUUUUCAUUUCUCUAGGGAUUGGUUUACCCUUCCAAAGUGACAAUUCCGAAGGUUGAUUUCAAUAGUUAACUGUACUACAAAGCAUGUCCCAAAUGUCAGAGAAAAGUGACAUUUGAAGGAUCUAAUUUUGUGUGCAAUGCUUGCAAUCAAAAUGUGGAGUAUCCUAAAUUGAGGUAUGUCAUAUGUGUUAACCUUUUUAUCAUUUUAAUUGUUACAAUAUCUACAUAAACAUAACUUUUAGAAUAUGUGUAUUUAUACAUAUAUAUGUUAAAAGUUUUGGCAAAUGAUGCAACCGGUAGUGCUUGGUUUAUUAUAGUUGAUCAAGAAGCUGAAAGAAUAAUAGAACACAAACUUUCUUUUGUUCUUGAAGAAUUUAACAAGGUAAACUUAUAUCUAAUGUUUAAAAAUAUUUUUAAUAAUAGUAGACAAUCCGACACUUAUCUUAGCCGUUGAAUAUUCUAACAAAAAAAAAUCUAUUAUGCAUUCCAUUUUCAGGAAGGAUUUAGCAAUGAAAUCGUGUCAUCAAUUAUAAAUAAGAUCACGUGGAAAUCUUUUGUGUUCCAAAUCAAGUUGAACAAUUACAAUUUGGAAUAAGGUAGUAAUAAAUUUAUAGUGACUAGAUGGUUCCACUGUGAUUUCGGGAGGGAAACGCAUUUCAUGCUUUCACAGGUAAUGUGCAAUAAAUUUCUCUUAUAUUUCACAUAUUAUAUCUCACAUAAUAUUUUUGCCUUCAAUUUUGAUAAAUCAUUAUCAGAUUGGUGGAACCGACAACCAAUACCAACCUGAAGCAUCUUCUUCCCAAAUCCCAAUUAGUAUAACAGAUGAUUCUAAUCAACAACAUUUCAAUACACUUCAUAUGAAUCAUUCAUCAGAGGGUUCAACAAAAAUCACAGAGAAAGAGAAUCCUCAUAAAAAGAUUUGCAUGAGAAGGUAGAUUUAAUAUACUAUUUUACUUUUUUAAAUUAUAAUCUUUACGUAUUGUUAUACACAAUCUUGAAUGCGAUAAGUCAUUUUUUUCCAGUACUUAGUUAUCCUGCUUUGCUAUCAUGCAGCGAUAAUGGAAAAUCAAUAAAUGCUGAUUUGCAUGGACAGAUCGAGGAGAAUGUUCAAAUAGAAGAAAAACAAAAAAAAGUUUCUGAAGAAUAGAAUAUUAUUUGAUAUUAUUUACUGCACUUUUUAUUUAUUUUCAAGUUUUUGAAUGUUAUGGUAUUGUUGAAUGCCAUUUUUUCUAUUUUUGAAUUAUUAUUCACUGAAUUAGAUGUUCAAAUUUAUAUUAUAAGAAUACUUUAUAUUACAAUACGCACAUAGUAAUAUACUUAAGACAAGUUAUAAUAGAUUAUAUAUUAAAUUUGUAUUUUAUACCGACAUUUUUAUAAAAUUAACUAAAUAGUUUAUUAUUUUUCGAUGAUUCCCGUUCAACGAACGAGUACAAAACUAGUUAAUUAAUUAAUUAAGAGAAUAGAUGUGAUUGUAAAUUAAGUUGAGGGUUAAGAUCGAUAUCAGAAAAAAGUUGAAAGAAAUGGUAAAUUGCGGUUUUUGGUGAAAUUAUUUUUUGUUAUCUCUUAUUACUAGGUUGGAGGAGUUUUAAUCGAAGUGUAAUUGCUAAUUGGAGGAGUAUUAAUUGGAGUGGUAAGGUAUGUGAAGAGAGAAGUGUUAGUUGGAGUAGAAUUCUUGUUUGAUGGAAACAUGAUUGUGUGUUUCAAACGUGAACAUGAUAUAUUUUAUGAAAUAAAUUAAACAUGAAAUGCUAGAAAAAUGGAAUUGAGAGUGGAGGCUUAUUGCUAGAAAUCCUUUCUCAAAUUUAUAUAGAUAUAGAUUUUUAAUUAAUCUUACCUUUUCCAAAAUCUAAUAUCUAAAGUAAAUUUUAACGAGCGUUCAUUGUGCACCCAUUAAUUAGACAUACUGUACUAAAAAAGGAGAAGUAACAAAACCAAGCUAAUCUCUCCUUAUCGAAUCGUACUAAUUAUGUGCUUAAAUGAGCUUAUUUUAUACCAUAUUUUACGUCAAUUCAUGACAAUUGUAACUAUGUAUUGUAGUCGGUACAUAAGGAGCAUUGGACUCACAAAAUUUGAUACUUCCACCUAACUAGAGUUUUUUGUGCCGAGUGAUGUGAUAACAUGGGCAUUUUUAAUUAGCAAUGGCCAGAUCGACACCCGCUCAUUGACGACCUGUCAUAUGAUAAAAGAAAAAAAUAAAAGAAUUCAGUGAUAACUUGUACACAAUGUAGAUUGGAUGAACGAGUAUAUACCUAGCCUUUCUCUUUCAAUUAUCUGAUAAUUCAAGAUUGGGUCUCCUAAGUUGAGUUCUGUCUAGUUUAAAUUGGUUGAUGUAACUUUUAUAAUUUUUCGUAUAAACUCAUAUAAUUUGAGUAUAAAUUUAAAUUUGUCAAUUCGUACAAUUAAGUUGGUGUAAAUUUCACAAUUAUACCAAACUAUAUGAAUUUACGCCAAAUGUGAUAAGAAUUAUGAGACUCAAUCGAUUUGAAUUGAACAUAACUCAACUUAUUCUCAAAUCCAUAAUUUAGAUGUUUCCAAUUUAUGACCCUAACAUGAAUAACAUAAUACGUCUUCACACCAUGGCCAUCAGUAUCCUCCCAAAAACUGGAAACUAAGGAAUCCUUAGACAUGCACCACUUCUAGUUCUAGCCCAAGAUUCCUCCAAGUAUGACUUCUGUGGUUUCUUUCCAUAGUAUCAACGAUUCCACACAAGAAUCUCGCGGCUCAUGUAUAUAAAUGGUCCUGCGAGUCCUGCAAUAGUCCAACACGUCUCUCCAUUCAUUCAUAUCACACAAGGUUUGCUCAAUUUCCCCUCAAUUUCUCCUCUCCCUUAUUUCCCCUUCUGCGCCAAAGGGUACCGUCGGACUGAUCUUUUAGUUUCUUUUACUCUCUCAAUUUUGGGUUUUGAGUGUAUAUGAUAACUCUUCUUGUUGAACGAUGAGAUAGCAUGAAAUUCUUGCGUCAAAGUUUUAUUUUGGUUUGUUGCUUUUCUUAUCCUAAUUCCAUGCUGGAUUGAAUAAAAACAGAAUAAGGGUAGCUUUUUUCUUCACCAUUUGCUCCAAAAUAACUGAAGAGUUCAAUUGUUUUUCCAUCUUUUUGUCUGUAUCAGAACAUUCUAAUGUCACUGUCAUCACAGCAUGAACUGCUUUUAGGGGUUUUGCAGAAUUCAUGUCGUUUUUUUGUUAUGAAUUGCUUCUUUAGGUUUACGUAGCACAUAACUUUCAAGGAGCUUUCUGAGGGUGCUCAGCAGAAAUGGAUACAGAUAAUGGAAGUGGAGGUGGUCCAGUUAGGCUUGAGGUCUGUUGGUAAUACUCGAUUUUCAAUGUCCUAUUAAUAUUUUAUUUCACAUGUUAAUUUCUUUUUCUCCCUUUGGCAGGGAAAAUUUGCUGCAAUGGCAGUCUGUUGGCUUCUUGGAAAUGGCUGCUUGUUUUCUUGGAAUAGUAUGCUGACAAUAGAGGAUUAUUAUGUCUACUUAUUUCCGGUAAUCGCAUAUGUCAUUGAAGAAUCUGUUGGUUGUCAAUGUUAAUUUCUAACCCGACUUGAAGCUUUUCCUUAAUUGAUACUUAUUUUUGUAGAUGUUUCUAUCUUUUAGAAUUACAUGUAUAAAGGGCAUUCUCCUGAUCGCCAUAUUAGCUUCUUCCUCAAUCGGAGUACCCUAUAGCCAGAUCAUUCCUGGAAAAAAACAUUGACAUUUUGCCUACUUCAUUAUAGUGCAAAAGUUUUUGUUCUUUAAGGAAGGCUUUUCACUAAUUGAAUCCCUGAAAUUGAUCCAAUCAUAUGUAUCUUUGGAUGUUUAAUGGAAUUACCUUGUCUUGGAUUUUGCCAUGUUCUGUUACAACAAUAAACACCUCAUGAAACUGCUAAUUUUACUGCCUUGUCGGCUUAAAAGUUUGUCAAUCAUAAUCCAUGAGUUUUGCUUUAAUUUCUCGGUGUUGUAUGGUUAAUUUUCAUUCAUUGUUUGACAUAGUGACAGCACCAACUAAACUUCUUUACUCUUUCCAAUCCUCGACUGAAAGUAAGAUACUGGCUUUGUGUUCUACUCUGCUUUUCUUCAGUUAUUAAUCAGAUAUCUUUUGAUUUUCCUCAAAAGCUAGUUCAUGUCGUAAUGUUUUUCAACCAGCAUUUUAAGAGAAACAUUUCAUAAAGAAAGGUAUCUCUAUUAAGAAUGCAGAAGUAGCAUACCAUGUGGACUAAACAUUAUGCAGACCUAAACUGUAAUAUCAGUUGUUAGCACAAACAAAUGCAAGACAAUAUUACCUUGUGAAUGAUGGACAAUACCUAAAGCAGCAAACCCCAACUUAUUCACUCAAAGGUCUUCAGAGAAACAAGUUAUUCCUAGUCUUUUAAUGUUUUCAUGCCAUUCUUGGAAUAAUCCAUAUUAAUAAGACAGCAAUCAGAUUCCAACUUCAAUUAGGAAAAUCAAACAUGGGUCUCAUAACCCCAGUUGUCAGAUGGCACGGUUUGUGGUUGUACUCAUUGGAGGCAUGAGCAUUUGUAGUUGACCAAGUGAAUGUUUUCUUCUCUGCAGAGUUACCAUCCCUCAAGGGUUCUUACUCUUGUAUAUCAGCCAUUUGCACUAGGAACCCUGGCAGUGCUAGCAUACAAUGAGGCAAAGAUCAAUACAAGAAAGAGAAAUCUUUUUGGAUACAGUCUUUUCUUUGUUAGCACGCUUUUAGUACUCGUUGUAAGUAUUAUUCUCUUUCUAUUCAUUCUGUUGGAUUUAAUGUUAAGCUUUACAUUAUACGUGAAAGAAUGUAAUUUUUAGGCAAGUGCACUUACUUGUAUCAUAUACAUAAUUUCACCAUAGCUCUUGGAAAAAAAAAUGUGUCUUUUAGUAGAAGACAUUUACUGGUUUCAGUUAUUUCCAGUUCCCCCAUUAUCCAUUAUACAGCAUAUCAACAGUAUUUGAGAUUAAUUUGAUUUUUACGUUCAAUUGCUCCAAUAGCUGGAUUUAGCCACAUCUGGAAGGGGUGGAAUUGGAACAUUUAUUGGAAUUUGUGUUGUCAGCGGUGCUUUUGGAAUCGCUGAUGCUCAUGUUCAGGGUGGAAUGGUUGGAGAUCUCUCAUUCAUGCUACCAGAGUUCAUUCAGGUUAGUUCUCUUUUCUCGUGUUCUGCUGUAUCUGAAUAGUUCUUUCUUCUGGAAUCUUUGUAUGACAUUCUUUAAUUUGAUUGCUUUAGUCUUUUCUGGCAGGGUUAGCUGCAUCAGGCGCACUAACAUCCGCUUUGAGGUUGAUUACCAAAGCGGCAUUUGAAAAUUCCAAGGAUGGCCUGCGAAAGGGAGCCAGUAAGUUAUGAUUUCCCUUUUCUGUGGUUAGUCUUUUCUGAUUGUGUUAUUUUGUUCAUAUAAUCAAGCCUACAGUUGACAAAUAACUGCAGUUCUAUUCUUUGCUGUUUCAACAUUCUUUGAGCUUCUCUGUGUCCUUCUUUACGCAUUUGUCUUCCCCAAGCUACCAAUCGUGAAGUACUAUCGUUCUAAGGCAGCCUCAGAGGGAUCAAAAACUGUUUCUGCUGACCUUGCUGCAGGCGGAAUUCAUAGGCAGCCUGAACAAGUAUAGCUCUUUUAAUGUAUUAGUGAAUUCAAGAUCUCGGUAGUGACUUUAUCAAUCUUCUUUAUCACCAUUUCAGGUUGGUCAAGAUCCUAAACAGCCCGAAAGAUUGAGCAACAAACAACUACUAGUUCAGAACAUUGAUUAUGCAUUAGAUAUGUUUCUGAUAUACGUUCUAACACUCUCUAUAUUCCCUGGAUUUUUAUCCGAGGAUACUGGAUCACACAGCUUGGGAAGCUGGUAAGUCUGCUUGACCACAGCUGCUUGGUUUUUUUUUUUUUUGGUGCUUUCUCACUCAUGAACGUGGAACAGAGCUGUUGCAACUGUCUUGUAUUUUUCGUCUGUGAACUUCUGUUGUUAUCUAGACCAAACUGAGGACUUUGUGAAAUAUGUCAUUCCAGGUAUGCCCUUGUCUUGAUUGCAAUGUAUAAUGUCUGGGAUCUCAUAGGUAGAUGUAUACCACUUUGGAAACGCAUAAAGCUGGAAUCGCGUCGGGGACUUACAACAGCAAUUCUCUCUAGAUUCUUGCUCAUUCCUGCCUUCUAUUUCACAGCUAAGUAUGGUGAUCAGGGCUGGAUGAUAAUGCUUACCUCUUUUCUGGGGUUAAGUAAUGGCUACCUUACAGUGUGUGUCCUUACUUCUGCCCCAAAGGGAUACAAGGUAUGUUUGGAUUUAACAUAUUUAUUUUAACUAAUCUUCCUAGCAUCCGCACAGUAUUCUUAUAGAACUUUUGGCAAUCUGAUUUUUGCAGGGACCAGAACAGAAUGCCUUGGGAAAUAUACUAGUAUUGUUUCUCCUAGGAGGUAUAUUUGCAGGGGUUACUCUUGAUUGGUUAUGGCUCAUAGGCAAAGGCUGGUGAGCAUUGUCACUAAUAGUUUUUCAGUUUUUCCUACAAUCUGCUCCUCAAGUUAGGUAUAAUAGGGUGAGCCAUUCCUAGUAUUGUUUCUCCUUUGAUGUUAGGUGAAUUUUAUUGCCAUAGCAAUCAAUUUAUACAUAAGCUCCUUAGAUAGUUGGGGAAAAAUAUGACUCCAAGAAAUCUUAAGGCUUACAGAGCAGGGUCUUUUGCUUUCACACCCUGUUCGCACUUUUAUGUUCUUGGUUGUUUUUUUGAUCAGCUGUUCAGUCAAAACUUUGCAUUAGCCAAUUGAUAUCCUUGUGUUUCUCAAGAAUGGCUGAAAGAUAUUUGAACUGCUUGCUGAAAUUUUUGCUACUGAUUCUAUGUUGUAUAUCUUCCUGACCUGAAUAAUCAUGGGAUAUAAAUAACUUAAUGUGACAACAGGAGUUACAAUAAUUAACCUCCUCAAUUAAGUAGUCAUAUUCAUGAUAUGUUUGCUUUAAUGCAGGCCAAAGAGAUCAAAAACUUCCACCGUCUCUUAAUGAAGUUAACAUCACUUUUUAGGCCAAUUAGUGUAAUGAAUUUAAAGUAGACAUACUUUGGCAUAUUUUGCUUCUGGUAUGGAGGUUCUCCUGCAGACGGGAUCCUUUGUCCAAUAUUUGUGUCCACUUUUCUGUCCAAUACAAAACUACGCAGUUUCACUUAUUAUAUCUGCUGAGUCAUGACAACUGAAAAUCUAAGUAGUUAGUUAAAAAAAUAAAAAUAAAAAAAAAAGAUAAGCAAAAGAAUAAAUUGCCACAUCUGGUUUUAGAGGCAGCUUAUUAAGCUACAUCAAGGCUGCACAAUACACAUAUUUAGAUACUUAAUCACAUUUAAUUAAAUACAUGCACCGACAGUAAUUAUGUGUUAUAGAAAAUCCCAAAGUUUAAAAACUGGGUUUAGCUACCAAGUGUACAUUUUAUUUGUCUUAAUGGAAUUGACUAAUUGUUAAUAUCCCAAGAAAGCUCUCCUCCCUCUGUCUCACCAUUGUUUAUGCUUCUUGCAUCAAACUCAUAAAGGAAAUGUUAGGUUAAAAAAAAAUGCCAUUCUAUACCCUAAUAUCUUUUUCCUUGCAAGGUGCAGUAUUUUAAUUAUACUUAUUGGAUUUGCCUUUCUUUGAUGGGAAUAAAACUAUAGGGAUGGUAUGUGCUUUUCUUGAAUUUCUCAGAGACAGAAUAACUGUUUUUUUUUUUUUUUGGUCUAAAAGGAGAAAUACAUCAUGUCCAAAACCAAAUAAUAACAGGACAUUUACAGUCUAACAUCAUUAGAUUUUUGUAAUUUGGGUUCCAAAAUUGUUUCUGGUAUGUGAAAGAAAUACCAAAUUUAUGCAAAGAAAUUUGUAAUAUAAUACUCGAAGAACUUAUUCAUGAAUGAAAGUGAAAUGUUACCAACAUUUGGGUCUUUAAUUUAAGACUCCAAAUUUUGCUGGUAAAGAGAUGCAAAGUUUUUAGUCUUUUGAUGGGAAUUAAUUUUGUAACGAAAAUUGACAAAGAGCAAUGUAUUUUUGAAAAUGGGCCAUUGUAUUUGCUUUUGGUCCGCAAAAUUUGAAGCCCAAUUUAUCUUCACGCCAUCUCCAAUGCUUUUAUAUCUAGAAAACCAAUCUAGAAAGAGUAAAUCUUAUAUAAACUGAUAAUGUAUAUAUUGUCACGGUUGGAUGCAUGACACAUGAACAAAAUUUGGAUUUCAAAUUUAAAUUCAGAUAAAUUAUCAUGCAUCUAAUAGAUAAUCUAGAAAACCAACGUAGAUAAUCAAUCAAGUAGAAAGAUGCUUAAGUGCAUUUGAAUUAGUUUUAAGCGCUUCCCUUUUUUUUUUAUCUGGAUAAUUAGUAAAUUUUUUAAAUGAUUUAAUCACCAAACUAACUGUUUAUAGACCAAAUGGUACAUUUCUUUCUUUUUGAAAUGAUUCAAUCACCAAACUUUGGUUUUGUAGACCAAACGGAUCUUAUUUGAUCUAUUAUUCUGAUUUUCAUUUUACUAUGUAAAUAAAACAACUCAGAUAUCACCUUUUAAAUCCCAAAAAUAGCCUUCAAUAUAAAGUUUAUGACAGUUGCAUUUAGAGAUAAACACAGUUGAAUUUGUUUUUUUGGAGGUUUUGUUUAGUUUAAUUAACUCCCAAUAAUCCUCAUCUUUUUUUAAGUACAUCAAUAUAAUGGUUGGGUCAGCCACUAGUUUCAAUUACAGUAGAUGGAUUUGCCACAAAAACUAAAACUAAUUUGAACAAAAACGACCAAAGCAAAAGAAAACACAAGAUGCUAAACAUGCAAUAUGGCGACAAACAUCCAACCGAGAUUCUCUCCCCAAAUUACGUGUGAAGGAUUACUAUUUUAUAGAGAAAAAAUUAUUUAAUUAUUUGAUCCAAUUUUAAAGGUUUAAGAUCUGAAUUAUAUAUUGUUGUUUUCAAAUAAACAAUAAUAUGUUAAGUUCGAUGCUUUUAUGUGUCCAAUAUGAUCACCUACAAAAAACUAUACGACCAACAUACUCAGUCCUGGGGAAUUACCCUUCUUCGAGUUUCGAGUGUACCCAAAAAGUUGAAAAGCUUUUUGUUUUCUUAUCGAUGUUUGAAAAUCCGCGUUGUUAAUUGUUACUACGACAAUCUGCCCCAUUCAAAAACCAAGCGGCAAAUGUACCGUAUAAUUUUACUUGUAGCAUUGUUAUACUGAGCUAGCUCGGACAAGUUUAACUCGAAUUCGACCUUGAACUCAAAAAUAUUCAGUUUGUUAACUCGCGAAUCGACUUGAUUAUAUAUAUAUAUAUAUAUAUAUAUAUAUAUAUAUAUAUAUAUAUAUAUAUAUAUAUAUAUAUUACUUUUUGUUUUAAUAAUAAAAUUAUAUAUAUAUAUCUAAUAUUUUAUUAUUUAUUAAAAAAAUAUUAUUUUAUUCAUUUUUUAAAAUUUUAUUUUUUUAAACUCAAACUCGAGUUCGAAAUCGAGCUUGAUUUUUAUAUUUUGAAUUCAUCGAACUCGAGUUCAAGUUUAAGUUUCAUAAAACUAAGUUGAGGCUCGGAUUGAUUAGGUUAAAAUUCAACUCAUUUUGACUCAUUUGCACCCUCAUACUGAGCGAAACAUCAACUUCAAAUUUCAAAAAACGAAUAGUAUGUGCCUUAAGAUUAACUUCAUCCGCGCAUCUUUCUCUUUGUCUUUAUCGCUUAAUUCACUUGAUCAUAACUAUAUUUUAUAUCUUUUUCCUCCUACUUGUUAUGAUUAAAUGUUUAACGUUACUCACCAAGACACAAAUCAAUUUCUUGUUUUAGUAUCCAAAUGUUCCACAAUACCCCCAAAAAAAAAAAAAAACUACAAAGGCUUUGCAUCUCCACCAAUGGGCUUUGGUCCGGAGAGAUGUCAUUAGACACCCAAUUUGGAUUAUGGUGACAUUUUCUCGUUAAGACAAACAAAUAGAGUGAGGGUUCGGUAUUUACCUUCUCGAUUUAGUGAUAAAACAAUUAAGGUUGAAUUCUCAAGAAUUAGAUAUGUUGAAUUCAAGUUUUACUAUAUGCGUGAGUUUCAUCUGACUAUAUGCUAGUGUGCGUCCUACCCACCAUUUCUAGAUUUAAUUGUAAUAUUAUUGAGCUAUAUUCUUGUUAGUAAAUUAGUUGUAAUCUUGUUAAAAAAAUAGGGUUUGUUCAUUUUACUACUUACCAGAUUAAGAAAGAAUUAUUACUAAUCGCCGUUCCAAUAUACAAUUACAAUUUGAUUUUGCAGACUCACGAGGCGGCCUCAUCUUAGUGUAAAAUUCUUGAAAUGGUUGCCAUUAUACUUCGACAUCUUAUGCUCUUUAUCUUGGUCAAAUUAGGGAUAUUAUGAAUAACUGCAUUUUCAAAAUUAUUUUGACAAUAUAUAUCGGUAGUUUGACCUUUAAAAGGACAAAAAAAGGGAGGUAGUUCAGCAAUAAUAAAAGCAUCAAAAUUACAACUUCUUUCUACCCAGUAAAAUGUGUCCAAAAUAAUCAAGAAAAAUAUAAAAUUGUAAAUAGGAGUAAUUCAAUAAAUUAAAAAAGCUACCAUAAAAUGACCUAAUAAACAUCAAAACCUAGACUAAAUGUAAGGUCACUCUCCGCAGUAAAAGUAAGAUCUUGUCCUCGUACUGCAUGUCAAAAAGUACAAAUCUGUGAAAGUGACCUAAAAAAUUUACAGUGGUACAAAAAGACAAGAAUGCCCCCUCCAUCCCACACAAUUUGUCAACUAGCUUCACGUGAAUGAUGAAUCCACCCGACAACCCGUCACAGGCUAAAAAACAAACGCAGCCGGUUUUUUUUCGGCCCUUUCCAAAAAGUUCCUGUUUUUUCACACGAAUAGAGAUCCAAUAAUGAUUAAGGGUAAAAUCGGAAACAGAAGAAUAUUGAUUGACCAAGAAGUAGUGGAAAUGGACGGCGAAGAUGAGGCCUCUGAUUGCUCAAACUGCAGCGAAUCGACGGCUAAGGGCAUGUUUUCUUGGUCGGGGCUGCAUUUAGCAUCAUGAGGAGGAUGAGCACUGUACAUAACUGCCCGCAAUACUGCCGAAACGGUGGGUAUGUAUGCCGUUUUGUUUCGAGCUAGUAGCCACGUCAGCCCCAUGAGCUGGCAAUCCCUGCUUAACAUUUUGCUUGCUCGGUCCCCGUCUUCCACGUCCAUCUUUUGAGUUCCGUUUUUAACCUCACCGUUUAACUACAAAUAAGCAAUAUAUUCAAGGGCCAUUUAGAGAUUUCGUUUAUAAAGCUUGUCAAAUAACAAGCUUUUUGUUUUGUUUUUUGGUUUUGAAGCAUUGUCAAAUAACAAGCUUAAAGUAACAAAGAUUAAAAUCAAUGGAUAGAUAUGCUUCAAACAAUAAUAACAAUAAUAAAUCGAUAGAUGCUUUGAAUAAAUUUUUGGAAGUCAAAAGUGAUGCUUGAAUAGGGAUUAUAUCUUUCUCCCUCCCCUAAGGGAGAGAAAAAUAUGUGUUUAUUUAGCAUCAAAAAAAUGACAAUUGAUUGAAAAUGAUUUAAUCAAAUAAUGAUGAAAAAAGAAGAAUGUGGAAAAUGCUCUCACUAAAAAUAGAUGAGCGCAUUAUAGACAAAAUAUAUCUGUUUGGAUCCAUCAGUUUUCCAAAAAUUAAAUUUUCAAAUACUAAUUUCUAAAAAAUAAUCUAAAAAGUUGUCUAAAUUUUUUUUAAUAUUUAAAAAAUAUUUCAAAAUAUAUUCUAAAAACUCUACUAUUCUUAAAUAUCUCAAAAACUCUACUCUAAUUCAAACGGAACGUUAAGUCCUUGAAAUUGAGUAAAUUUUUAGGGAUGGAAAGCAAUUUUUCUUUUGUUUUUUCCCCAAAUAUGAAAUGAGUAGUCAAAGUAAUGAUGAUUAUGCAGCCAUUAUAUCAUUAACUUCAAAAGGAGACCAAAGGAAGAAUAAGAAACAAUUAUUAUAAGUGAAAGUACAAUAUAGGACAAUUGUCUCACCAUUAUACUCUAAUGAGAGAACUAAUAAAUAAUAAUAAUGGCCAAAGACUCUUUUUCAAUACAAUAAGAUAGGAUAAGAACAAAAUGAACGAUUAGCGAGUGAAAUUACGAAACUAACCUUUUGGAGCGCACCAAGACACUUGGUACAACCAGCAUAAGAAGAGUUGUGACAAUUCUUCUCCAAAUUCUUGACCGCGGCCGUCGGCGUCGCAUUCCGGGAGCCCGUCAGAUUAAACGCGGCUGGACAACUCAAGGAAGUGAUCUGAUGAAGGCGAAUCCCACAAAAGCACAAAACGGGGUCGCAAGAGCCAUUAGGCUGAGGAAUAUGGAUGUUGCGGCUGAGCAAGGAGCUCUGCAGCGAGUUCACACACUUCUGCGAGUCGUCCGGCAUCAUGGGCAGGUCGGAGCUGGUCGGAGGAGCAGCUGAGCUGACCUGCAAAGCCGAGCGAGCAUGAGCAGCGAACAGCCACGCUGCCAGUACUGGGCAGCAUCGGCUUCUGUCUAGGUCACGCCCACAUGCUGAACUGACUCCGCCGAAAAGCUCGUCUGAGAGGUCAAGCCGGCAAGUUUGGGCCUGCGUUUGAACGGGAAAUGCGGGGACUGUGUUCGAAGAUGAAUAGUCUCCCGGCUUUAAUGGCUGAGCCGGCUGGGAGAGCAAGCCAGCAGAACAAACAUCAAAGGUGGAAAAUAGUAGAGGGAAGAUAACCAAGAAAGAUAACGAAAAGGUAAAACGUCGACGUUUCUUUGUGCACUGGACCUUCAUAAUACUAGUAAUAAUGCAAGUGAGAUGGAAUUUUUUUUCCUUGCUUCUAAUGCUUUUUGGUUUUGGGCAAAAGUGAAGGGGUUGAGGAGAAAGCUAAAAGGGGUGCUGAGAGCUAAGAAGGUUUUACUAGUUGAACGAGAAGAGGGAAAUGAAAGGAGAGGGCUAAAAGCAGGUUUGUUUUGUCGCUUUGUUUUUCUUUGUGGUUUGUUGAGUACUAUAAAGAAAUGUGGCUAGGGGUUGAGGAGGGCUCUGUCUAAUAUUCACAGGUUGAAGGAGCUAAAGGUUCACGCAAAUUAUUUCAUCAUACAAGCAGAUCCUGUUUUUUUUUUCAUAUAUAAAGAGAUUUAUUAUGUAAAAAAGAAGAAAAGAUUGGCUUAUGCAGUAUGCUCCUUCAAAAAAAAAAAAAGAUUGGCUUAUGCAUGUAACAUGUACAUUUCCAUCAAAGCUCUCAAGCUGUGUACCAUAUAAAAAUGGAUUUAGGACAGGCAAAGUUGAGGUUUUGGAUGGGAUUGCGCCCUUGUUGCAUAUUUUACAUGAAUUACGUGUAUUAAUUAUAUGCACAUAUUUUACUAAUUCAAUAUAUAAAUACAUUAUCAUGUUUAUGAACGUACGUUGAGUUUUUUAAAAAGAAUAUAAUAAUCAUACCAAUUACAUCAAAUCCAACAGUAUCCACCCCAUUCCUUUUUGAAUAAUGUGUGUGUAUUGUUAGUUGUGUGAACUGGAUGUCUUACUGUAUUAAGUCUCAGUUAAAAAAGUGUAAAUUGCUUCUAGUGCAAUAGUUUCAGCGAGUUUUCUUAGUUAAGUAACUCGGAGUAGAAAUACUAGUAUAUGAUGUGACAUCACUGGGUUUGUUUGGAUGGCAAAUUAUCUCUAAUAAUAUUUCACUUGUAUCAUAAACAUAUUUUUUAACUUAUCUUUUUAUCUCACAUACAUCACAUCACAAAAAAUACUCUAUAAUAAGUAUUCAAAAUAAUAUUUCAAAUAAUACUCUAUCCAAAUCAACCUAUAUUGAUUAAGUAGUGAUUAGUCAAGGAAUAAAUGGUUUAAAAGUAUGAGGUCUAUAAGAUUUUACUGUCAUUUUUUUUGGGAAGUGAGAAUUUCUUUAUUAUUCUCAUUGCUUAAAAAGAAAAUAUAUUAUCAUUAAAAAUAACUUCUUCAAGUCGCAUGUAUAGUAUAAGCUAAAUUAGUUAAGGGUAGAAGUCUUAUGGAUUGGUCAAUAUACCCAAAAGUUGCCAAUCGAAUUAUUCAUGCCUCUUAAUUUAAAACAAAAGCAAAUAAAAUUUUCAUAGGAGUUGACUUUUUUCAAUAUUAGAUUACUUGGAAUUUCGUUAUAUUUCUGUUUGGAUUGUGGUUGUUAAAAAAAAAAUUCUUGUCAUGCGUUUUGUAAUGCGAUAUAUAUUAAAUAAAAAGAUGAUAUAGAAAUAUAUUUAAUAAAGAUUUUAAAAUUUAUAUUGUACCAUUUUUUAUUGUAUGAUUAAUUUAGAAUAAAAAUAAUUAAAAACAUAUUUAACCAAAUGAUUCCGAAAAUGUUUCCGUCUAAAGUUCCUUAAUACUAGGGCUUAGUUUGGGAGUUUAGGAUAGAAAUGAAAAAAAAGGAAAACUCAAGUUAGAAGAGAAGAAAAGGGAAGACACUGUUAUGUUGUUGAGAGUUUUAAAAAUUAAUUGAAUGAUUUUGAAUAUAGAAGUCAUUAAAUAUUUGUUGAAGAUCUUUUUAAGGAUAAAAUAGGUAUUUUAAAACAAUUUGACAAGCUUCCUUAAAGUUUCCUUCCAUUUCCAUUCAAUUUGGGAGGAAAAGUUUUGGUUACCGAAGUAUUACAUUUCAUUCCUCUAAAUCCUCCCAUUUUCUUUUUUUUCUUUCUUACUACAAACUACAAACGAAGGAAAACCACUUCCUUCCCUUUCUUUUCUGUCCAAAACCCCAACUUCCAAACGAAGCUACAGUUAAAGAGUUGGACAAGGUUAAGGGUUGGAGUACUGGAGCAGCUGGGUUCUGUGACUAGACAGGAAAAAGGAAAAGGAAAAGGUUGGUGAGGGGCCCGAAGAGAAAGGAUUAUAGGAGAGUUGGGAGUACCACGCCGACAAAAGACGAAAGAGUGAAAGGGAAAGGCUGUCUGAGAAUUUGGCUGCUUCUGAUGUCUCCUUCCUUCUCAUUCCUGCUCCAUUCUGGAGGUCGUGAAAGGGAAAGGCUCUCUAUUCUUUUGUUUUCUUUUAUUUCUUGGUGGCCUUAGUUGAAGUGAGAUUAAAGUGAUUGGGAUUUGUGAAAACAAAUUAAACAAACCAAAUUUGGCUUGUCCAAACAAACUCAGUGUCUGUUGGUUUUAUUUAAUAAGGUAAGAAUACAAUAUAUCCCAACAUGGAGAUUUCAGUCUUUCUUUCCUUUUGGUGUCUUUUUUCAUUAAGUUAUUAAGUUGUUUUUGAUAAUUUUAGUGUCUAUGAUAAUUGUUCGAGGAAUAAAGGAAUGGAUUUUUAUAAUGCAUGUCGCAGCAAACGUCCAUUACUACACCUAAAUUACAGUUAACUUAUUAUGUGUAUGCACACACUUACAUCUAAUGCAUUCUCCGAAAUUAAUUUUAGUUUUACUAUAAAACUAGUCCUGGGACACCAGUUAACCAAAUCCUGAAUAAAAAUAAAGUAUGAUUUUUUAGGAAAUUUUUUAGUUUGGAGAUUGAUGAAGAGCAAUAGACAAAAUGAAGGCUCUUCAGCGACAUAAUUGGGUAUCCAUGAGUAAGUGGUCAAAGCUUUCGAGAAAAAGGCCAAUGAUGAUUGCUGUAAUGAACUGAACUAAGUGACACAUUUUUGUAAUCUAAUAAGAAAGUGGGAGCAUGGCCCUUGAUGGAAACUUCCAUUAUCACAGGGAAAUUCUCAAGUGCUGGAUGCAUGGAAAAUUUUUGUGCUCUUGAAAGUGUUUAUACCAAUGUGUAGUUUUCUUGAGUACCCAUCUAAGCGAAGUUUAGAAUUCAGCUAAUUUGGUUGGGUAUUAUAUUACAUGUGUAUUUUCUUUGUUCUACAUUGAAAUUAGAAAGCAAUUUUUUAAUUUUUUUUGCAAAGUAGGGAUAGAAUUUUAGAAGCAAGAAUGAAAUAUGAGAAUUUGAGCCCAAAAUAUCUAAUUUCUAGACUGUUAAUUUUAAUCUGUAGAUCAAAACCCCCUCUACAAUCAAGAAGCAAGUUUGGUAUUUAUUUGAAAAGUUGUUGUCUAAAGAUAAAAUCAAGUAAUGCAAUUUGCUUCUGAAAUUAAAUUUUGUUUGUUUAAAGAGGUCUUGAGGUUUCUAAUAGUUCAAUAAUAAUUUCUUGGUUAAGUUAUGUGAGAUCAAUUAUUUGGACUUUGAUUACUGGUUCUGAAAGACUAAAACUAACUAAACAACUUCAUUCUAAUAAAUUUUUUUUCAAUAGAAUAAAGAUUAAGGAUGCAAGUAGAUUAAGAGUUUCAACGAAAAAUUUGUAAUCCUUUCAGAUUCUUUUAACUUUUAUUGAUGAUUUAGGGAAAUUUUAAUUGUGAUUUACUAAUUAUAUUAGUGUUUAAAUAUAUAUUAAAUAAUUUGUGAAUUACAAAGUUAAAAAAAAUCUCCUUUUUAAUCCAAAAAACUUAGAGAGAUUUGAAAAUAUUUCAAAUUGUUCAUCGAAUCCUCAAUUCAAAUGCAGCCGGGAAUUUGUCAACUUAAAUAGCUUCAUCCCAAGUGAAUUCUAUUUGAUCCAUUUCAAAUAGAAUGAAAUUUUUUACGUGAAAUUAUUAACUUAUACUCGAAGUCAAUCAAAUAAAUACUAUCACAUAAUCAACUAUAAACCAACCCCUAACUCUACUCAUUUCUGUUUGGAUUGAUCAUUUUUUAAAAAAUAAGUUUUUCAUGUACAAUGUUACAGUAAUACACAAACAAAAAUAACCUAAAAAACACAAAAAACACUAAGAACAAUCUCAUCUACAUUAAAAGUUUUUCACCUACACUACUAUAGUAAAAUAUUUUAAAAAUAUCUCCAAAAAUAGCUAAUCCAAACGAAGCCAUUUCCUUCAUUCUUUUAAACAAAAAUCUGUUUUUCUUUGUGAAUCUCUUUUCCAUGCACACCGGCAAAAUCAAAAGGAGAAUUUGCAAUUACGAGAAAUGAUAUGGUGGCAUUGCUAAAUGCCAAGAACACAUGUACUAUAUUAUACAUUGGGAAAAAAGGAGGGCAUCUUUGGGAUUCAACAUUACUCUGACAGACUCUUGUGAUCGGCAGUAUAUGCAUGACGCAGUGCUUGUGGUUAGGUAUCUUCUUGGCAUUUGUUACCAACUCCAACAAGACAAAACAAUCCUCGUUGCAUGACAACCAAUGUUCCAGUUGUUCUUGGAGACUUGAAAAGUCUUCAAGAUAAAUUAAACAAACAAAAUCAUCUUGAAGUAUUUGGAAAUUAAAAAUUACCUUAAUCUGCAAAAGGGUUCUUAUAAUAGUGAUGUUUUAAAUCUGUUCUAAAAUCUUUAGCACACAUUUGAAGUAUAAAGUUCAUAAUCUUGUACCUGCAUCUAAUUUUUCUUAGUACUAAAUGACAAAUAUUGCUACAACGUAACACUUUUUUGAUAUGAUAUAUAUGAGAUAAAAAAAAAUUGAAAAAUGUGUUUAUAAUAUAAACAAAUAAAUUUGUGUAAAUAAAUAACUAUCCAUACAAACCCCCUAGUGUUUAUUAAUCACCAAGCAUUAUGUUUCUGUUUUAAUAAGAUAAGUAAGAAAGUGUAGUAGCAUAUGUUUCUGUAAUCUAAAACAUAGGCCUAAGAAUCUACAGCUUAAAUUUAUAUGAAGUUGUAAAGACUAAAGAAUAAAACCACAUGGUUCUGGUUAAGGUCGAAUUUGCACCACAUUCCUAGGGUUUUAUUCUAUUGUUGUUUCUGGUGAUAAAAUCAUACACAUCCAAGAUUACAACAUUCUACAUGUACUUAAUCCAACUGUUAAUGGAAUCUAAAGCAUUUUUAAUUUGUCCUAUCUGCUCUACUUCUCGUGGGCUGCAGAUGAUUUGAUUUUUGUUUAUGUGAUUUUCUUCUGUUGCAGAAUCGAAAUGCAUAUCGGGGCAAUGAAAAACAAAAGUUAAAUGAAUAGAAUUUAUACAUUUUUGUCAUUAUCAUACCUUUUUCAAUUUUAGAGAGUGGCUUUUCAGAGUAAUGUUUAGAACAACAUCAUGGAAUUUUAAAAGAACAUCAAUGCAGCAAGAUGGCUGUGAAAAUCGUUUGAACCUUUUGUUCUGAAAGUUUGCUAGAUAAAGGCUAUGAAAAUUGUUGUUUUGGUUUACAGUGAAAACGUGACAUUCAAAAAUGGGAGGAAGAAAGUUAGGUGCAAAAGCACAACACGAAUUUGACUUUAGGCAAAGACAAAAAAAAAAAAGAAAAAAAUGAUCUAUCAAAAAUGACUAAUAACGUACGAGGCCAUGAUAAAUAAAGCUUCUAAAGUUUUUUUAAAUCUACUUUCGACAAAAAGGUUCUUUGGGAAAAUUAAAAAAGUUACCUGACCCAUCCCAACUCCAAGAUGAUUACUUUUCUGCUUCAAAUAAAGAAAAAAAGACUAUUACUUUUCGAAUCAUAACGUCUCUUUAUUUCUAUCAGUAAUGUGGUAGUACAUAUUUUUUCACUUUUUCUUUGCAUCUUUUAUUGGAACUUGGGCUUCCAAUAGCGGAUCCCUACCUUUUUCAAUUAAAGAAAUUCACUAAUGAUGUAUUUUUUAUUAAUAUAUUGUAUUAAUGUGAAUAAUCUCAAGUUAGACUAGACAAAACAGGAGUGAAGACUUUGGUAUUUGUGCAAAAAAGUGAAGAGAAAAAGUUGUAAUCAUAUCAUAGAGUUGGAAAUCAGGGAUUGACCCACAUCCAGCUGCUGAAGAGACACACUCACCUUUCAGAUUGAUUGUACAAUUGGCCAGACUUUUUUUUUGUUUGGUUUUUACCAACUCUUACGUUACCCCUCUCCCCAUACAAAACUUGGAAACUGUUAAAUUGAAGUUGAACACGUUUCAUUAGUCGUGGCUUUCUUCUUCUUCUUCUUCUUUGAAAUCUUUUUAGUGAAUUGAUUCAUGGCAAUGACUGCCUUGAUCAAGAAAAUGGAAGUUGCUAUCGCAGUGGAAUGAAAGACAAGAACUCCAGAUUGUAUUAUUACUUUUUAGAGCUUUGAUCAAGAGUAUAUUAUAACAAUUUGAUGUAUAUCGAAUAAAAUAAUAAUUAAAAAUUAUAUUCGUAUAAAAAACAUAAAUUUUUUUUUUAGAAAAUAUCAAUCCAAAUGACGGGUAUGUCUUGCAUUGAAUGCACCAGAAGAAAGCACAUUAUCAAAAUGUUUAAAUUAGGCAAAUACUUGUGAGCAUAAUAAGCUUAAACCAAGUCAUACAAAAAUUAAGACAGCAUGUUGAAGUGCAAAUCUCUGUUUACUUCCCAAAAAAAAGGUGCAAAUCUCUGUGUAAUAUACUUCCACAGUUUCUCUCAUCUACUUGUCAUUAAACCCUUUCGACCCCAGCUAACAGUUUUUGAAGUUUAGUUCUACUGAGCUCCUUGUGUUUCAAAACUAAUGGAUGUUCGGUUAUUGCACGAGGGUUCUUCAUAUCCAUCUCAUCUUUAACCUGGUAACUUUUUGUCUUCCAUUAUUUGAUUACUUUGAGUUCAAAUGUAACAAAUGGAGAUCCUCUUUUGCACUAUUGCUAUAGAACUUCCUCAGAGAAGAAUUAUUUGACAAUCAUGACAGGAUAGUAGAUAAAAAGUUUGCAUCUUUGUCAACUUUUGAAAAGAGGCCACCAUCGCUGAAUGCAGCUUUCUCAAUGUGAUAAUUGAUAUCAACCACUUCAAUAUGCUGGCAAAACAGAAGACUCCACUUGAGAAAAACAUAAUCGAGUGGGGGCCGAAUGUUUCAAUUAUGAGGGAGGCACUGUCGUCUAACGAAAUUCUCACUCUCUAGACCACAUGUUCUUACUCCCUUCCCUUUUGCUCCCUUUUGCUUAGUAAGGUCUGAUAAGGUUUUUGUGCUUGCUAGCCCUUGACACAAAAGCUCUUUAGACUCCCCUUCCCCUGUAGCGUAGGAUAGAUAUGUUAUAUAAUAGUUGUCGUUUUCGAAAAAAAAAAAAUCACGUGUUUUUGUGGAUGAAAGUUCAAAGGUUCAAAUCUUACUCCCCAUCAAAAGUUAUCACUUAACGUGAUUAUUCUUAAAUUCAUAUGUGUGUCUUUUCACCCGUAUAAUCUGAUCAGUUUCCGUCGAUUCCCUGUGAUUCUAUUAGAUCACCCCCUUAAUAUAAGUUAAAGUAGAAGUAGGUGUACAUGAUGACAAUAGACAAAAAAAAAAAAAAGACUUUUCAUCUGGUGAUUAUAUACGAAGUCUUCAAUAUAUACGUAUAGUCAUGAAUCUCAUGAUUAAACUUUUCUUCUCAAUUAGAGCAUGUAACAAGAACUUUUCAACUAUUCUUUGCUUAAAUAUUCACUGAAUUAAGAAGAACACUGGUUAGACUACUUAGGAGUACGCGAUCCAACAAACGAUUCUUUAUGUUGUUGCACCAAUCGGUAUCAAGUAGAAGCUAUACAGAUGAUGUGCAAGAAUUUUAGUUCUAGUAAUGUUAAGACUGCAAUUUGUUUCCCUUUUGUUUGUUGGGCAGAUAAGUCCUAUCAUGUCUAAGUAUGUUGAACAAAUGAGAAGAUAAGCUUCAUGGUUUCUCUCUGUUACAAUCAAGUUUAACAUGUACAAAAUUAGCACAAAAAAUGAGCAGCCAGCUAAUAAAUUUGCACAUUGGAACCUUUCUGCAUCCUGCUUAAAAUUUUUUUUUAAGUGACAAUAGUUAUAAUCUAUUUUAUCCUACUUUAAAGGGAGAGGGAGCAUAAUUGUGCUAUAUAAUGGGUUAGAGAGGAAAGACUCAUCAAAACCAGAGAUAUACAUUAUUAUACCUUCGCUGAAUUUUUCUAAUUGCAAAUAGGGAAUUCGAACACUCGACCUCCGACCCGUGGGAAAUUUAGAUGGCUAACUUAUCAAAGCAGGUUAGUCUUUUCUCCAUCUUACUGAUGGACGAUGGACUAAAAAUGAGAAAAAGAAAUCACUGCAUUGCACAAAAAAGUAGUAUUUGCUCGUCUUCUAAUCUGCCACUUCGAAAACAUUUGUUUCAUUAGCCAAUGACUUGCAGUAAUGACAUUACAAAUAGAUGUUAGAAUAGUCCCAAGAAUUCUCAAUUGCACAAUCACCAAAACUGAUAAUAUUCAUUUUUGUUAAAAGAAAAAUGUUUCUCAUCUAAUGGCGGAGCCAAGAUAUAUAUAUAUAUAUAUAUAUAUAUAUAUAUAUAUAUAUAUAUAUAUAUAUAUAUAAGGGGCAGCUCGUGAAUGUUGUAUAUAAAUAUCUUGUAAGUUUUAAACAGAAUUUUUUGCUGUAUUAUUGAUUUGGUUCAAUGCCCUUUGUGCAAACUUAAGAGGAUCCAAAGAUUCUCAGCAAAUACAUGAUAACAUUGGUCCAGAGAAUUGCAAAUUUUCAUACGUCUCGAAAUGCAUUAAUUCUCCUUCGUCUGUCACUUCCCAACUCUUUUUUUUUUUUUUUCUGUUUCUUAAUUGGAUAUGUUAAUCUGACUCAAACAUGAGGGACGUAAUAAUGAUAUUUCAGGGGAGAUAAGUGCAAUUUAAACCUACUAAUUUUUUUUAUCAUCUAUUUUGUUAUUUUAUCGAUAGAAGGAGCCAUCUGACAGAUCAUGGAAGAUGGCUUGCAUUGGGCCUGGAAUCUCGAAAGUUACGUUUUCUUCUGCCUUGUCUGAAAUUUUUGGCCCAACCUUCUUCAGUCUGGACCAGUGCACUUUUAACCAAUGGCAAGGAGCCUUAUUGAUGCAACGAUAUCAGACUAUUUUUUUCUGAUAACAUGGCCUACAUGAAGAAAUCCCAUUUGUUUUGGGCGCAUGAAUAAAUAAAUUGAUAGGACAUUAAAAAGUUUCAGUAAUUUUAAUUUAUUUUUGAAGCCAUAUAGAGUGUGUUUGGAUAUGAGAUUAUCUGGAAAAAAAUUAUUUGAGAUGAUACUGUAGCAUUUUUUGUGAUGUGAUGUGAUGUAUGUGAGAUAAAACGGUAGUUAAAAGAUGUGUUUAUGAUGCAAGCAAAUAAUAUUUGCAAAUUUUUUUAGUUCUUGAGAUAUUUUUACUUAACUGUUUGCCAACCUCAAACUUGUAUCGAAACCACAACUCUCUCGUGCAUGGCUUGCUAUAAGAUAUAACCGAAAUCAAUGGUGGUACACUUGGCAAAAAUUAGUGCUAUGAUUUUAUGGGUGCAAAGAAUUUUGGGCAUGCCUAAAUAUGAAUUAGAAGGAAUACUAUCAAAUUCCCAGCUAGGGGAAGGAAAUAAUCAAGUGUCAAUGAAGAGUAAAUCUUCAAUCUUUGGAAUGAUAUUCUCCUUAUCAUUUCCGUCGGUGUAUUUUUCUUGUUCACUUGUGCGAACUCCUUUAAUUUCCCCAGCCGACAUGAUUGAUCUAACGUGAAAUAGGUGGCUAACGUGCAGUCCCUUAGUACACAGAUGAUUGAAAAGGUUGAUGGUCCCUUAGGUGGCUAAUGUGUGGAUGAACUGAGUUUGAGUGGGUAAACUGCUGUCUGGGACUGGCAUUGUCAUGUAACAAAAUUCCAACUCGAAAGACUUUUCUCUAGUGGCAUUGUCAUCGUGUCACGUCACUUUUCUCUAGUUUUUCUUUUUACUAGUCCACUACUUUGGAGUUUGGGCUAUACAAUCCAUCAAUUAUCGUUCAAAUUAUUGUGGCUCUAAGUCUCAAUUAUCGGUCAUUAUCAAGUUUUUGAUCUUUCUAAGCCGUUACUUUUGACUAUACAAUCCAUCAAUUAUCGUCCAAAGCUACACAUUUGAUGUGCUAGAUUUUUUUUUUUUUUUAAUUUUGAAAAAAUGUGCUAGAUUUUCACUUCCACAAUUGAGACCGCAUAGUUUUUUUCACUUGUAAGCAUGAGACUGGAUAUUUCAAUCUUUUGAAAAGUCCACGUUUAUUCUAUUUCAUUUCCAAGUUCCAACGGUUCUAUAUAGUUUUAUUCAUGUCUUUCACAAAAAAAAAAAAAUUAUUUUAAAAGGAACGGAAUUGAUUUCUUACAAUUUUUACUUGUCAGUGGAAACAAAUACCUCGUUAGAUCUAGGGAAAUCAGAAAAAGAUGGACAUAUUCCAAUAUAACACGACAAGAUUAUACGACAUUUGUUAUAUUAUUGUCAACACAGUACCUGUUGUUGCCACGCAUGAUAGAAGAGGCUUCCCGUCCAUGUUUUUCCUAGAUACCACAUUGCUUAUUUUUUUUUUUUUUUUUUUGACGGAGUGGGUGUCCGGAUCAAGUCCUUAAAGGCGGCCUGACUAAUCCCACUUCGGCCCGGCCUAGCGCCCCAACCAGACCUAGCACGUUAGAUGCACGGAGAAGCCGAUGUUGCUGCGGAGAUUCGACCCGGGACAUGAGGAUCCGAGGAAGAGGCGCCAACCACCAGCCCAUUCACGUGGGGGCUCGUAUUGAAUACAACAAAUUUUCAUUCAUAAGUCUUAUUCUAGACCGAUUUACCCUUCCUAGGCAUAAUUGCUCUUUGCAGAUCCUAAGAUCUUCUAUAAUUCAAGAAAUCAAGUGUAUAAGAUAAUCUCAUUGUAUUAUCAUAAUUGGUAGUACUAACAAAUAAAGUUGUUACCAGUACGUAGCAACCAAAAACUAGAAACGACAUACAAGCGUCCCAAAAUUAACUUUUACCGUAGAAUUUUACAGAGAAUUAAGCCGGUCGUUAAAAAUAACCGUAAAAGCAUCCAUUCUUGGCUUGGAAAGGGAUAAGCCAACCUCAAUAUCUCCAUCUGAUUCUCUACUCCCACUAAGAGAAAUGGCCCCUGAAGUAUCAAUCGAAAUGAACUCGAACUUUUUAGGCUUUCCCCAUCCAAAAUCCAGAUUGUAAUAGUUAUACCUUGGUGAGCCAGCCACGGAAACAAGCCUGUCCAAAUUUAUACCUGCAGGCUCCAGCAACCACGUGUCAGCAUCAUCGAAGA